AAGGAUCAUUAAAAGUAAAUAUGUAUUCGUCAUGAAUAUGCAUUUCAAACCCCCCCCUGCGUACAUUUCCUGUUGCUUCCUCGAGUCAGUGAUCCUCGAUCACCUCCAGACGAUGCGCGAUGCUAUCGGUAUGACGGAGAGCACUCGAGAAUGGUCCACAUCAAACCCUUGAAUUUUCAAUGUCAUCUGUCUGAACCAUGUUUAUAACAAAUAUCAAAACUUUCAACAACGGAUCUCUUGGUUCUC
rnacentral:misc_RNA from 1 species